UUUGAGAAAGUUCAGGAAGCACAGGUGGCUGUAUAGAUGCCUGUCCAAGUUUAAUGUCAACCCCUAUUGAUCCAGCACUGUCUGCUUUCUCAGAACUUGAUGUCUGUUGGCAUGUGUCCACUGUCUGGAAAACAGGAAUAUCAAGAACAACUACAGCCACCUUCUUAACUGAGUGUGGCUCUAUAAUUUCAUGGACUGUUGAACUUUGUGAACUACACAGAGCAGCCUGUUCUUCACUAUGGGGAGAAGGCUGAGGAGACUCGGAAUCUCCUGUUGACUGUGCUGGUUUAACAUCAGCUUGUGUCAUAGGAGCUCCAUCAGGCUUUAACUUUCUCCUGGGUGGUACCACAAUGCUUUCCUCCACAACAGCACCAGUUUCUGCCAGUCCUGUGAUUGACUCUGCAGUGAAAGAAGACCUGACACUUUCGUCUUUUUUUGGAAACGAUUCGAUAUUUACUUCAGCAGGUCCAGUUACAAGUGAUGUUGGCUCUGAAGUUGUAAUAUCCUUUUGAUUGUCCUUGUUAUCAGUUCGUUUCAAUAAUGUUUCUUCCACAACAGUAGCUAUGGAUGGCCUGAUGACCAACUCUGGAUUGAAUGAUGUAAGACUUGCAAGAUCUUGUUCAGUACGAGCAGUGAUAACUUCCUUAUUCAUAGUUUCGGUUUUGAUAGGCUCUGAAGUCUUGGUCAAUUUUGACCUUCUUGUUGUAGGUGAAGGCUUAGCUUGCUCAAGGGUUCUUGUUUCCAUGGCAGGCUUUGAACGUGCAAUCUUCUGCUGUGGUUCUCCAUCAAGUUUCAUAGAUGUCACUGAUGUCUUUGAUUUUCUCCUUGUUGGUACAAAUUGAGUCUGCUCAUCAGCAGUGGUCUCAGAUUCAGCCAGUUUUGCUGGAACAUCAGCAGGUGCAGCAACAUUCGAGACUGGCUCUGAAGCUGUAGCGUCUUCUGGAUUCUUUCGAGACCUUCUGUUCCUUGGCACAAGAUGUGAGUCACAAAAUUCCACCUUAGCUGUCCCAACUGGGGUUGAAUCUUGGUCCUUUGAAUUUUCAACACUAGAAAGGUCCUGUUUAGUUUUUCUGUCUUUAGUUUAGUUGUUGUAAUGGUGGUUUUCGUUGGUUCUUUUGCUGUUUUUGUGUCAACUCUGGGGCUUUGCACUUUUUUAGUAGGUACAGGCAAAGCUCGGUCUACCACAGAAACAGAGGACAGAGGAGUCUCAGAGUCUUGCUUGGACUGUGCCGGUUUUGAACGCAUAAUAGGAGAUUCAGCAGAUUUUGACUUUUUCCUGGCUGGAACCACCAUGGCCUUCUCCACGACAGCCAAUUCUAACAGUGCUGGGGUUGAAUAUGGAAUUAUAGGAGAUUUUUCACUUUCAGGAUUUGCCUGAACUUGUUCAGGCUUCACAGGAACAGGUGCAGUAACACUUGCCUCUGCCCGUAGAGCUGAAGUCUGGUCUGGGGACUGAGGUUCAGGAACAUCUGGAUGUUGUUUCUCAGGUAGUAGGGACGGAGGCACAUUUACAUGACUUUGAGAAAGUUGAGGAAGUACAGUUGGCUCUGACUUUUUAGAUGCCUGUCCCAGUGUGAUGUCAAGCCCUAUCGAUCCAGCACUGUCUGCUCUCUCAGAGAUUGAUGUCUGUGGGCAUGUGUCCGCUGUCUGGAAAGCAGGGAUAUCCAGAACAACUAAAGCCACCUUCUUUAAUGAGUGUGGCUCUACAAUUUCGUUGACGGUUGUACUUUGUGAAUUAGACAGAGCAGCCUGUUCUUUUCCAAUGGGAGAAGGCUGAGGAGACUCAGAGUCUUCUGUUGACUGUGCAGGUUUUACAUCAGCCAGUGUCAUAGGAGAUCCAUCAGGUUUUAACUUUCUCCUGGCAGGUACCACAAUGGGUUCCUCCAAAACAACAACAGUCUCGGCCAGUCCUGUGAUUGACUCUUCUGUGAGAGGAGACUUUGCACUUUCUUUUUUAGUCUGAAUUGGUUUGAUCUUCGCUUCAGCAGGUCCAGUGACAGGUAAUGUUGUCUCUAAAGUUGUAGGAACAGUUUGAUUGCCCAAGGUACCGGUUCUCUCCGAUGUUGUUUUUUCCACAUCAGUAGCUAUGGAUGGCCUGAUGAAUGACUCUGGAUUAAUCAAUGACGCACUUGCAGGGUCUCGUUCAGUACAAACAGUGAUGGCUUCUUUAUUCAUAGUGUUCGUUUUGAUUGGCUCUGAAGCCUUGGUGGAUUUUGACCUUCUUGUAGUGGGUGAAGGCUUCGCUUGCUCAAGGGUUCUUGUUUGCGUGCCAGGUUUUGAACUUGCAAUCUUCUGCUGUGGUUCUCCAUCAAGUUUCAUAGAUGUCACUGAUGUCUUUGACUUUCUCCUCGUUGGUACAAGCUUAGUCUGAUCAUCAGCAGCGGUCUCAGAUUCAGCAAGUUUGGUUGGAACAUCAGCAGGUACAGCAAGUUCUGAGGCUGGCUCUGAAGCUGUAGAGUCCUCUGGAAUCUCUCUAGACCUUCUCCUGCUUGGCACAAGAUGUGAGACACACACAUCCACCUUAGCUGUCCCAACUUGGGAUGAAUCUUGGGUCUUUGAUGUUUCAACCCUAGAAAGGUCCUGUUUAGUUUUAGUCAUUUCUUUAGUUGUUGUAAUGGUGGUUUUUGUUGGUUGUUUUGUUGUUGUGUCAACUCUGGGGCUUUGCACUUUCUUGGUAGGUACAGGCAAAGCUCGGUCUACCACAGAAACAGACAGAUUACUCUCAGAAGUUUGCUUGGACUGUGCAGGUGUUGCACGCAUAAUAGGAGAUCCAGAAGAUUUUGACUUUUUCCUGGCUGGUACCACCAUGGCUUUCUCCAUGACAGCUGUAUCUGACAGUGCUGGGGUUGAAUAUGGAAUUAUAGAAGACUUUUCACUUUCAGCAUUUGUCGGAUCUUGUUCAGGCUUCACAGGAACUGGUGCAGUAACACUUGCUUGGGCCUGGUGAUCUGUAGUCCUUACCUCAGCCUGUUCCAGUGUGAUUGGCUCUUGAGUGUCGGUUUUGAUUGGGUCUGAAGUCUUGGUAGAUUUGGACUUUCUUGUAGGAGGAGAAGGCUUAGCUUGCUCAGCUUUUAGCUUUUGCGUGAACUGUACAUGUUCAGUUCCCUUUGGUUCUGCAUCAAGGGUUCCUGAUGAAAUGGAGGUCUCUAACUUGCUCCCACUCGUUACCAGCUUAGUUUGUGCAUCAGUGAUGGUUUCCGAUUUGAUCUUGAAUCCCUCAGUGGAAUCUUCUCGACUCUCCUUAGGUUCCCGAUUCAGUGCUUGAGAAGGAUCUUUUGAAACAGCCAAACUCUGAUUACUCCUGGUUACCAGAAACUGCUGUGGUUCUUUAACAGCGAUUUUGGUCUGGCAAAUAGACAACCCAGAUGUCGUUGUCAAAAAUUCCUCCUUCGUUUGCAUAGACUCUGGUAAAGCAGGCUGAGCAACAAUGUCUAGAUCCUGUCUUCUGGCCUGCUCAGACUUGUCUGUUCCCCCUACAGCAGUGUCAACCGGUUCCCAUACUAUUACAGGGAAAUGGGGCUCAGCUCUAACUAUUACGGGCUCCACUGAAGAUGACGUUGUAGUUGACUUUGUACUCCUUGUUCCUUCGGACCCAGCCUUAGUCGCCGAUUCAGCAGAAAGUACACUCACACUUGUAGCCUCUGAUGCGGUCAGUGUCCUGUCUUCAGUGACGUACGUCGUCUCUGUGGUGACUCGCACUACAGAUACUGAAGUUUCAAUUUCACUGUGUGUGGUUUCCCUCUUAUCUUUAUCGAUGAUUGGUUCCUGGAGUUCCGUAUGUUUCUGGGAAACAGUGAUGCUCUUCCUCUCUGCAGAGGGUCUGAUUGUCCGUGGUGGUGCUACUACUGAUGGUGCCGUUGCUGGUAUUUCUACGUCCUCCACUCUAGCUGGACGGACCUCAGAGGCCUGAGGGGCUUGCAGCUUGUGUUUCUU
ensembl:lncRNA